GACGAACGCUGGCGGCGUGCCUAAUACAUGCAAGUAGGACGCAGUUGCGAACGGGUGAGUAACGCGUAGGUAACUACCUAUUAGAGGGGGAUAACUACUGGAAACGAUAGCUAAUACCGCAUACUAGUAGAUGGACCUGCGUUGUAUUAGGUAGUAGGUAGGGUAAUGGCCUACCUAGGCAACGAGGCAUAGCCGACCUGAGAGGUGGAACGGCGAAACUGGGAAUGGUGAACGGCCCAGACUCCGACGGGAGGCAGCGGUAGGGAAGUUUCGGCAAUGGGGGGAACCCUGACCGAGCAACGCGGCGGGAGUGAAGAAGGUUUUCGGAUUGUAAAGCUCUGUUGUUAAGGAAGCGGUACUUAACCAGAAAGGGACGGCUAACUACGUGCCAGCAGCCGCGGUAAUUC
rnacentral:rRNA from 1 species